UCCCUGGUGGUCCAGUGACCGAGACUCCACACUCCCAAUGCGGGCGUCAGGGUUCAAUCCCUGUUCAGGGAA
rnacentral:tRNA from 1 species